UGGCCAUUAUCCGGUCUUUUCACCCAACCUCGUGGGUGAGAGGGUAGUGUAGGUGCGAUACAGUUCUAGAUAAUUGAAGUUGAGCAAAAUAGCUUACGGCAUGGCACAUUUAAUAGUUAUUUCUUCCCUCUUUACUACACACUUCUUAACUGCUUUAAUCUGUAAUUCGUAAUAUUUGUUGUUGUUGGAAUCAGGCCUUUGUAAAAGACGUAAUUAUUUGCUAUCAAGUUUAUUAUAGGCCACUAGUGAACUGGCAAGCGACAUGUAUCAAAACGGUAGUUCUCAAAUGUAUUAUUUUACGUCUGCGGGCUGUGUUCACUUGUUCUUAUUAUGAUAGAUUUAUCAGCUCGAGUUGCUAACGGUAGUUAGCAGGCUAACUGCUAAAUGGCUAGCGUUUGUCUGGCCCGACAUCACAAAGGAAACGAGCGUGACUGACCUCCAGCUAAUCUGUUCAUCCGGUGCUGGGGUCACCCUGGUGAGGAGAGUCUGCCACAGACUGGGGGAAAAA